AGAGUGAACGCUGGCGGUAGGCCUAACACAUGCAAGUCGAACGGCAGCACAGGAGAGCUUGCUCUCUGGGUGGCGAGUGGCGGACGGGUGAGGAAUACAUCGGAAUCUACCUUUUCGUGGGGGAUAACGUAGGGAAACUUGCGCUAAUACCGCAUAAGACCUUCGGGUGAAAGCCGGGGACCUUCGGGCCUGGCGCGGAUAGAUGAGCCGAUGUCGGAUUAGCUUGUUGGCGGGGUAAAAGCCCACCAAGGCGACGAUCCGUAGCUGGUCUGAGAGGAUGAUCAGCCACACUGGAACUGAGACACGGUCCAGACUCCGUACGGGAGCAGCAGUGGGAAUAGUUGGACAAGUGGGCGCAAGCCUAGACUCC
rnacentral:rRNA from 1 species